CCUACGGGAUGCAGCAGUGGGGAAUAUUGCACAAUGGGGGAAACCCUGAUGCAGCGACGCCGCGUGCGUGAAGAAGUAUUUCGUUAUGUAAAGCUCUAUCAGCAGGGAAGAAAAUGCCGGUACCUGAUUCAGAAGCCCCGGCUAACUACGUGCCAGCAGCCGCGGUUCUACGUAGGGGGCAAGCGUUAUCCGGAUUUACUGGGUGUAAAGGGAGCGUAGACGGCAGGACAAGUAUGGAGUGAAAGGCCGGGGCGUAACCGCGGAACUGCUUUGGAAACUGUGCAGCUAGAGUGCAGGAGAGGUAAGUGGAAGUCCUAGUGUAGCGGUGAAAUGCGUAGAUAUUAGGAGGAACACCAGUGGCGAAGGCGGCUUACUGGACUGUAACUGACGUUGAGGCUCGAAAGCGUGGGGAGCAAACAGGAUUAGAUACCCCAGUAGUC
rnacentral:rRNA from 1 species